CACACCCUCUGCUCAGCUGACGCGGGGUGCCCUAACUCCUGCUGAGGGCAGUGAAGGGGCGGGAUUGCUCUACGCUGUGCUCUUUUUUUUUUUUUUUCCCAUUUAUCCUUUUCCCGGGUCAUACUUAGCUGUUGCCUUUGGGCUGGGAAAAAAGCGGUUUAAAUAGUGAUCAUCCCAUUACGCUGGUUGCAGUUUAAGUAUUUGAGGAAGGGUGUUUGUUUUUAUUUUACAUGUUGAUUUUUUUUUUUCUCCUAAAAAGCCAUGCCUCAGAAGGAAAACCUGAUUUAGAACCAUUUCUCCUUUUACUUUGAUUUAAUUUGGAAAUAACUGGUUCUUUAGUCUGUUUUGUAAAAACAGCUUCGUGGUGAAGCACAAAUGUAACUGUUAGAAUGAAUGAAAGCUGAAGAAAUGUUCUUCUCCCUACGCCUCACUCCCAGUUUUAAAUGUAUUAAAUUUUCCAAAGUUCUGCUGACCUUUUUUUUUUGUUUUACUAGUAUUAAUUUAGUUUCAGGUCUCCACUUUAUAUAAUAAGAGCUCUUUUGACAUGUUAAUUAUUUUAAUCUCUUGUUCCUUGAAAAUAAUUUUCAAUUAUGAAUUUCAAAUAAAAAACAGGCAGUGACCAAAACCUGAAUUGCCUCUAAGCGUCUGAUUAGGUACCAGCAUGGGGCUGACACCUGCACGUGGGUCUGCACGGAGGAGAGGCCUCCUCGGGGGCUUCUCUGGCCCUGGGCCCAGCAGGGGCUCCCCUUGCCUCGGCUCCAGGCAAAGAGGCCCAUGUCCGGACAGGCUUCCCUCAACACUCAGGAGACCGUCCCCCGCGGGAGAGAGGCCCCAGGGUUCACCCACGAGUCCUCAGAGAAGGAGCAUUAGAGUCCAUCGUGAUAAUCAGGGUUGGGCCCUGUGACCCAAACCCCAGGCAAUGCAAGUGGUUUCGGAAGUCUUGAGCAGGCUGUGACCUGCCGGACCCUCCAGGGGUCUCGGCUCGCGGGCAGGUGUAGACGCCCUCUUGGGUGGGCAGCUUGGCCUGUGAACCACCACGGCAAGGACGCUUUGGUGAAACUGCAGCGCUCGGCCCUGACCCCGGCUCACCCAGCGGGUAACGGGCGGGGGCUCGGCUAGGAGGACCCAGCUGGCUAGGGCUUGAAGGGCCACCGCGGGGCGGUCGCAGGGCAGUCCUGAGGCGCCAUCAGCCUCUUGCCGGCGCCGUCACUGCCUCGUGCGCGUCCUUCAUGGACGAGCCCUGGCCCCGCCUCAGCACAGCCUCGCCCCUGACGCCGCCUCCGGACGCCCACCCGCAGGGCCCGCUGGCUCCCCAGCCGCACGGCCUCCGCCCCGCUUCCUGCCUGGACGCCCUCGGGAGUCACCCUGCCCUCGAGGGGACACGGGAGGGACAGCCGCAGCCGCAGGCUUGACCGCACGGCGCUGGUUCCCGGGUGCGCUGAUCCAUUUCAGUGACUGGACCUCCGAGGUGACGAAAAGAAAGCUGCGGGAAGAGACUGCCCCGCCCACACCGGCCUCGGCCCCGCCCGCCUCGAGUUCGGUCCCCGCCCCCAGCUGUUAUUGGCUACCAACCCGGAUGUCCCGUUCACUGGCGCGUCUCAAGGAGGUGGGCGAGGAGCUACUGGCAAAGUCUCGGCGCUCAUUGGCCCCUCUGCCCGUCAGUCAUGCGGCGCGGGCCUCAGGAGGCGGGUCGGGCGGUUCCUGAAUAUGGCGGAAGGUGAAGGCUGGAGGCCGCCGCGCCCGUGCGAGGCCUACCGCGCCGAGUGGGAGCUUUGCCGCAGCGCCGGGCACUUCCUGCGCCACUACUACGUCCACGGCGAGCGGCCGGCCUGCGGGCAGUGGCGGCGCGACCUGGUCAGCUGCCGCGAGUGGGAGGAGCGCCGCAGCGCCGAAGCCCAGGUCAGUCUGACAGCCAGGCUGGGAGAGGGCGUGGUACAGGCACGGGAGACCAGUCAGGAGGGGCUCUUGGUCCGUCCGUCCAGCAGACACUUCCCGCUUGGACGCUCUUGGACGUACAGCAGCGGUUAGAACACAAUCUCUGCCCUGCCCUGGAGCUGAUGGGGGGAAGAGCGGAGCGGAGCUGUGAGGGUGCAGAGCUCGCAGGACUGCGGUCCCUGUGUGAGAGCGAGCGGGCCAGAGUUCGGGCUGCACGUAAGCACGGCCUGGUGUGGGCACCCAGGCAGAGCCCCCCAGAAGACUGGCACCUCCCUCUGCCUGAGGACAAGGACGGGUGACCGACCCAAACAGUCCAGAGGGCCCUGGGAGCUUCCGCCUAGCGUGGGACACGGAGCCCUCACCUCCAGCCUCGCCUGCCCUGCCAUCACCACCAGGCUCGGAGCCGGUCCACCCAGCAUGCAGUGUCCCUGUGGGCAUCCGGGCAGGCCUGGGGACAGCGGCCCAGGACGCUAUCCCAAGGGCUGGGCUCCUCAGAUGAACCCUCCAGGCGCAGCUCUGACCCGUGGGGACACUCGGGGGGUAUCAGGCGGCUCCCCCCCGGCCCUGCUCUGGUAACCACCACGUACCUCGGCCAGGGUUCCCUCCUGCCACGGCCACUCACCGCUCCUUCCCUCAGAAUUUCACCCAGGCGUUUUUAGAAAACAUGGAUUAUAUCAAAAGACAUUUCACAGGUUUGAUUCUAAAUAGAGACUGUAAAUUACAUCCAGGCUUUAAUAUUGAGUUAGACGCAGGCAGUGUUAGCAUUUUGUACACUUACGUUCUUGUAGAUGCUUUUAAAAUACAUGUCCUUGAACCAAGAAGAA